AUGGCGCCUAGGGACAGCAAGGAGAUGCUGCAGCGGGCCGCCGAGUCCGCCAUCCGCUCCAUCGGCCUCGGCUACGACGUCGCCGCCUACGUCCGGCUCAAGUUCUGCAAGCAGCGCGGCUCGCCCGACCCCUCGCUCAUCGAGCUCGACCGCGAUGGGACCCAGGACAUCGUGCUCCCCGGCAGCCUCACCACCGUCGCCGGCGUGCCCAAGUCCAUCAAGUGCGACAAGGGGGAGCGGAUGCGGUUCCGGUCCGAUGUCCUGUCGUUCCAGCAGGUCAGGAGAGCAACAACGCACAUGCAGCACAGAUUUGUGCGUCUUCUCCAUGCAAUCUUGUUUACUUAA
rnacentral:rRNA from 1 species